GGCUCAUUAAAAUGACAUAUUAUGAUGUACUUUACUUGCUUUGGUUUCUCUGCUGAAAUGUUGAUCAAUGUGUUCCUCAAUGAAAUGAAAUGUUCGUCAUUGUCUUCUCCUGUAGUGAAUUCUGGCAUUAAACAACUGAGAGGAAGGUGCUAAAGUGGAUGGCUCCCUUUAUGGAAGAAUGAUGGAUGGUAGAAACUCUAUUGGGGGAAGGAAAAGAAGCAUACUACACCCAUCUCAGAGCUGGCCUCAUGAGGAAGUCGCGCUGCCACAGGAACCAUUGUCAUCUCUGUGUCAAGUUCACGAAGUUCACAAAUAAGCAAAGAGACUUGUGACAAAGAGCUAGGUGAAAAGCGGGGAAAAAGGAAGAAAAUAGGGAAGCACCAGACUAAACCGGAAGAAAGAGGACAUUUAAAACUUCUUCUUUUUGUGUUCAGAGCUCACAAUAUAAAAAAAGAUACGGUUAAAAAAAGUUGUGAUGCUCAUAAAAAGCAACAUUUUAUUUUCAAAUCAAUUACAUUAAUCAUACAAUUACCCCGUAGCCAGUAAGAAUCACAUAUACAUGAAAGCAAAAUGCUGUUUAAUUGAAUAAAACAAUGUCACACAUAUGCCCAAAAACAAUAGAGUAAAUAAGAGUUUCCCCAACAAUGGCAGAGAGAAUAAUUUUCAUGUUGAGCUUUAUUGCUCUCUGGAACAGUAGCUCCCCCGAGCAGAGAACCAUAACAGAAUUAAGGAAAGAUAUUUCCAUUCCAGAGACCAGACAUUUGGAGGACAGUGAGUAUAAAUCAUGAACCUGGCCAAGUAUUUUAUUUCUUAUUGGAUUCUUGACUGUUUCUUACUUUCAUCAUUUUGUGAGUCAUGACUAACGGUGCUUGUGCUCAUCUACAGUAAUUGAUUCUGAGAGAAAUUUCUCCAAGGAUUCCUGCAGCUCUCCUUUGAACAUACGAAGAGGGAACAUUCUUUCAGUCCCACAAACUACUGAGGUAGAGACAGAGAACCCCAGACUGGAGGGCUUUGAUUUCACCCUGCACAUCUAAGGGCACAAAUUGGUUCCAGGUCAGGAUCAUAUGAACAUAAUCUGAC
rnacentral:lncRNA from 1 species